CUUCCAGUAGCACCUUAGAGACCAACUAAGUUUGUUAUUGGUAUGAGCUUUUUAUGCAUGCACACGAAAGCUCAUACCAAUAACAAACUUAGUUGGUCUCUAAGGUGCUACUGGAAG